GACCUGCAUGAAAGAUUGAACGAUUAGGUAACUUUAUGAAUCCAACAGUCGGCUAAUUAGUAGUCAGGGCGAAGAUACUCUAGCUUUAUUGUUUGAGGACAAAAAGACCCUUUGAAUCUUCAUGGGGCUUGUUUAACAAAUUUCUAUAGGUGUAACUGAACCGAAAUGGGCAGUCACUCUCACCUUUUAUAUAUUCACAACAGAUGAAACUGAAGGAGCAUUCAUGCAUCAAUUUCUUUAUUUAAUUGGGGCGAUUUCCUUAUGUUUUAAAUCUACUGGAGCACAAAGUUGUUUUCAUUCUAUUUGAACAGAGACCAACAGCCAAAGGUUUCUUCUCACUUAACUUUUAUGUUAUAGACGUCUAAGUUUGAUUAUGAUAUCUCAGUGAUCUUACUAUCAAACUAUCCGAUAAAAGUUACUCUAGGGAUAACAGGCUUACUUCGAAUUAGAGCACACAUCAACUUUAAUGUUUGGCACCUCGAUGUCGGCUUUAACUUUUAUAGGUACGCAACAUUAUUAUCAAUUGGAGAGCUCAUCCUUUCAUAGGUUACGCGAGCUGGGUUCAAUACGAUGGA
rnacentral:rRNA from 1 species